rnacentral:tRNA from 1 species
GCGAGUGUAGCUCAAUUGGUAGAGCAUCUGCUUGCCAUGCAGAAGGUCGUGGGUUCGAGGCCCAUCACUCGCUCCA